rnacentral:rRNA from 1 species
AACGCGAAGAACCUUACCCAGGCUCGAAAUGUAAAGGGCGAUACCAGAGAUGGUAUCUUCCGCAAGGACUUUUAUAUAGGUGCUGCAUGGCUGUCGUCAGCUCGUGCCGUGAGGUGUUUGGUUAAGUCCAGCAACGAGCGCAACCCUUAUCAUUAGUUGCCAACACGCGAGGUGGGGACUCUAAUGAGACUGCCUAGGUUAACUAGGAGGAAGGUGAGGAUGACGUCAAGUCCGCAUGGCCUUUAUGUCUGGGGCUACACACGUGCUACAAUGGUCGGUACAGAAGGCAGCAAGACCGUAAGGUGGAGCAAAUCCGUAAAGCCGAUCACAGUUCAGAUUGUAGUCUGCAACUCGACUACAUGAAGUUGGAAUUGCUAGUAAUGACGAGUCAGCAACAUCGUCGUGAAUACGUUCCCGGGCCUUGUACACACCGACUGUAC